AUCGAUAUCCAUAGCGGCGUAAGGUACCAACAGCAAGAACCAGCAGCGUAACCGACUUCUUGGAGGGGCACCAGGUGUCCAAGUAAGAGAAAGGCCACCGAUUCUGACCGGUGAGAGGGAAACUGAUACAUUUUUUUUUCGUUGGCUUGUAUCGCGAAAAUUUUGAAUUAUUCGACUCAUUCUGUCAUACUGUCGUGCGCGAUAUCCUGCUCUUGUCUCCGUUGCAGUGCCAGGGGAUUUACGGAUAUUUUUAUUGGUAUCGUACAGCGGGGUGACCGGUGGUGCAGUUGAUAAAGUGUUAAAUUGGAAUCCAAUUUUGGAUAAUUCGUGGAUUUUAGUUGUUUAAAAGGCUAUGGGUUCUAAGCCUAUCAGAAUACUCUAGUCUCCAAGCAAUCAACAACUAAUGCAACUACCGACAUGAAGAUGAAACUUCUUCCACUAUUUCUCCUGUUCUUUUUCAUCCUGUUGACUCAGGCGCAACGAAGGACAACUGCUAAAACCAGUACAGAGCCUAGCACAACAAGAUCGUCCGUAUCACGAGGAAGAGGUCGAUCUAGAUUUGUAACUUCAGUUGAAUACCAAAACGUUAGGGAAACUUCAUCUACUCCAGAAAGCGUCCCCAGAAAGACUGUAACAUCUAGGAGACGAGUUGUAGAAAAUGUUGAGCAACGAUUUCCUUCUCGAUCCGUAUCUACUCCUUCUCCAACUCCUUCUAAGCCAGCUAUUACGUUUACUGUAAACUCAGAAAGAAGAGCCCUGGCUCCAACAUUUGGAGAUACUGUGGAAAAAAUAUUUACAGUGAAUGAAUCUCCAAUUAAGAGAACUUCUAAACCUGCGGCUGUACCACAAAUUUCAGCUAGAAGAACACCCAAACCUUUAACUGAUUAUGUAGAACGGAAAAAUUUUAAAUCAACAAAAAAUACUUACGAAGUUCAAGAAGUUAUUAACGAAGAUUUUGAAUUGGUAAGAAGGGUAAAAAAACCACGGGUACUAAUAGAAAGUACUAAUAAUCAAGUGUCUGUUCCGUUAAGGAGUAUAGAUAGAAAAGAAUUUUUUAGAACAGGAAGUGUUUCUAGAAGAAAUCAAGAAAAUGCAGAUUCAGUACUCGCUACGAAAUUUCCAAAACGUACAAAAGAUACCCAAGAGGGAGUGCUAAAUUUUCCACCGCGCAAAUUAGAAAAUCUAGAACCGCCCAAAUCAACAACCUCGGAAGCACCUGUAAGUGAGGAACCAAUCAACAAUAUUUCUAAUGGUAACCUCCUUGAAGAGCAACCUUUGGAUACGACGCUUGUCCCGGUAGAGUUUGAAUCUUCUCCAGAUCCUCUACAAGCAGAGGAGGUGAAGGAGGAGCUUACUAAUGUUAAUUUAGUUUCCUCAACUUCAAAGCCAAUAGAGGAACCUAGAUCCUCCGCUAACCGAAGAAACGGGUUAAGGAAAAAUACCAACGUUAUUGAACAGUCUACAGCUGCUCCCAGGUUUAGAACUAGAGGUAGAAGUAGUCCAGCCGCUCAAGCAGAGCAGUCCAGUCGUGCACCUGAAUUUAACUUUCAAUCAGUUACGCCAACAGCUACUCCUAACCGCGGGUUUAGGAGACGACUUGAUACAAUAACAGAACCAAGAAAAGGCCCGUCAGUAUUUUCCGCAGAAACACAAUUUCCAGAAUCUCGAUCUAGAACUGGACGAAAAAUUGAUCUACCUACACCUGAAAAACUUACAUUAGAAAUACCCACACGUAAUCGUCGAAGAACAACAACACCUAAAAUCAAUAAAGAAUCCUCAAUGCCCACCUUUCCAUCAAGAAAUCGCUUUCGAUCCAGAGAAAUGCCUAUAAUAGACGAACAGAAACUAGAAGUACUACCUCUGUUUGAAGUAGAACCCAAAUUGGUCAACACACGUGUCAUGAAUAGGGCAGAUGUUGUUUUUCAACCUAAAAAGAGUAAAGAUAAAGAUGAGCUAAUGACAAGAAAGAUAAACGAUAUUGAUGCGAGAUCUCGACGAAGGGGAGGAUUAGAACUCAUUCAAGCAAGUUCUACUGAAAUAAAAUCAACAGAAAUUCCAGCAAGGUCUAGAGUAGCAGUAAGUGUCAGUGUAGAAACCAGGACAGAAUCCUCGGUAAGGCGUUCUAUACCUAACAGGAGGUCUGAAGUUAAAGAAUCAGUUGUAUCGGAAAUAAAUGAAGUCACUUCUCGUAAAAAGGUAUCACGGAAGAAAGUAAAUUCCAACAGUUCAAACGAAAUUAAAAUAAAACCUCUUCCGGUGUACAGAGGAAGCAAGAAAUCCGAUGUUGUAGUUAAAAAAGGAAGUUCUGAAGAAGUUGAUGAGUCUGAUAAUUAUCCAGAAGCGUUCAAGGCUCUAAUUAAAUCCAAAAAGGAGUCAAGACCAGUGCCUUCUUCAUUACCACUUAGAGCCAGCAAUGUCGUGACUUCGGUACCAUCGUUUAGUACCACGUUUCAUCCAUCAACUUUUAAAGAGGUAACCGAUAGUGACAACGAAAUAAAACCUAAAGCUUUACCCACGUCAACUUCUUCACGAUGGAACCGAAGUAGAUCUACAACCACCUCUUCUGUUAAACUAUCAGAGCCCUUACCGCCAAAACGUUUUCCUUCCAGAACCUCACCAUACACUACUUCAGAGCCUAUUUCCGAAAAACGGUUUCCUUCACGAACCACACCAUCUGUAUCUAUUUCCACCACUCCCAUUUAUAGAGGGACGAAGCUAAGAACAUUAACACCAAGAACCUUUAGUGCACCUCCAAAACUAGAGAAAUCAGUAUCGUUCAAACCUAGAAGCUCCGUCGCUGAGAAGAAUAUAGAGAUUAAACAGUUUAAUAGGAACAGGAAUGCUAAGAGAGCUGAAAAUCCUGUUUUAUUGUCUACUAAGGUACCGAAAUAUACAACCACUGCUAAAAAGCUUGACCGUGGUAAAUACAGAAGUGAAUACUCAAGCAGGGGUUCUACUACCACAGCGCCCAAGUAUAUUCCAACCAUUCCCUCGGUGCCAUAUAUACCGACAAUUCCUGCUAUCACUCCUGUAAGAACUAUGGUCGAUACAUCUAACCAAAAGGACCACGACGAUGGAAUCCACGUAAUAUCUAUCGAUGAACCUGUUAAUGCCCUUCAGUCAGCAAAUCUUGUCAAGGGGGAUUUUGUAUCCUCAACUGCUAACUCCGUUUCUGAUAUUUUGCCAUUGGUUAAUGAUGGCACCACCGAAAAGACAGUCUCCAUUAUUGAACGAAUAAUAAAUUCAAUCAGCGCAAGAUCCACCACCCCGCCAUCUUCGGGCACCCCUUUUAGUAGUACAGCAUCGACAACAGAAUCCCCAUCAGCGAUAUUAAAAUUAUCGCCAAAAAAAUCUAGACAGACUGAUUUAACAGAUUCGUCAAAAACAACAGAAUCUAAUGACACCGUUCCGUUUACAACGGAAAAUCCCACGACAAUAAUAGAGAAGAUAUUAAGUUCCCUUAAUGCUAUUCAAGCUACAGAUAUUACGAGUGCCGGGCAAGUAGGUAUCGAUUUCAAUACUUUGACCUCUUUCACUACCACGCCUGUAUCUAGUGUGACUAAGUCUUCCACUAGCAGACCACUUCUUGCACCUAGUAGCACUACAAUCUUUCCACUUAGUAUUUUAGAUGAACUUUCUGAGGAAAAUAAGCAGAAAGAAACUGUACGUAAAUUGUUGGAUCUCUUAAAUGGUUUGGUAUCACCGCAACAACAAGAAGUUGUUGUUACUCCAAAAUAUGUAAAUAAUAGAACUCCUGGUAGAGGACCUUUUGUUUCUACUACUUUCUUUCCUUUAUCAACUGCAUCUCCUGAGUUGACUACUGCACCCACUGUCUCAUCUUCCACUAGCACUGAACAGAUAUCUUCUAAUUUUAUUUUAUCUGAAAAUACUUCUCCUCAAAUUGUUUCUGAAAUACCUAAUACAACUGAAACAACAGUUACCAUCUCCACUUCCACUGAAGUAAUUCCUACAGUUGAUUCUCAAUCUACUACAUCUUUGGAAGAAUUAGCAUCUACAGAAAGUGCAACAUCAAAUACGGAGAUUGUUAAUAGUUCUGUAAAUACUAUAAUAGAAAAUAUUGCUACUAAUAGCGAUUCUCCUUCUACUAUUGGAACUACUACAGAAAACUUUACUCCAUCGAUUCCUGCUGGCACUGAAUUCGGUACUAUCCCUAUAGACGUUAGUAGUUUCUUUACUACAUUCACCACGCCAUCUUCUUUCCAAAGAUUUGAAGUGAGUCCUGGAAGUGUUUCUGUUUUUUCUGCUAACGACCUUUCUCUUAACACAGUAACAUUAGAAGAUAUUAUUUCCACUACUGUAGUAAAUAUAGCUGGUAGAUCCAAUUUUGAUAACGCAGCUACUACUACAAGUGCCACUACUAAAGAAGCUACUAAAGAAAAUACAUUAGAGAUCACAACUGUGGGAAUAACUACUGAACCUUCACCUCAAACCAGCAGUGAUUCUAUGUCAACUAGUACUGAAAUUGUAAAUAGUAGUAAUUCUACGUCAAGUAUUACUGAAACUGUGAACUCUACUGAUCCUAUGUCUAGUAGUACUGAAACUUUGAGUAGUAGUGGUCCUAUGUCAAGUAGUACUGAAUCUAUGAGUAGUGGUUCUAUGUCAAAUAGUACUGAUGCUUUGAACAGUAGUGGGUAUAUGUCAAGUAGUACUGAAACUGUAAAUAACACUCAAACUAAUGGUACCAGAUCCAGUAAAAAACUAAAUUUCAUUCAAGAACCUGUACAGAAUAGAAUCGAUACAUCAACUCCUGACUACUUCAUCUUUGCUGUACUUAACAAUAACACUAUCUUACGUAAGAGGCCAAAGGUAGAACCUAAUGCUCCAUUUUAUGUUAUUGGUGUGUAUCCUAACAACACUGUCGUAAAGAAAUUCCCAAAUGGAACUGAGGUUCCCAUGGAUAUGAUAAUAAGGGUAAGGGGAUUCGAUACACGUGAAAACCCUCCACCUUUGCCAGAAAUAACCAGUAACCAAGUAACAAGCGACCUUGGAAGCUCCCCGGAAAAUAUAAAUAUAAACACGGAUGAUCAGAAUACUAUUCCUUCUGUAGAUGUGAAAUCAAAUAGAGUAGCUGCCAGCACAACUCAAGCGACUACCUCCUCUACAAAAGCACAAACUACCAUAACCCAAUCUCCUAUUACCACUACAGAAGCGAAAAGUAGAACUACUUUGUCCGAAAUUAGCACCACUACACCACCUAUAACUUCUACCUCUACCGUAACACCAAGUAACACACAAACUACUAUUAUGUCUAAAGCAGAACCCACAACUAUUCCUUCGACUAUACCUUUAGAAACCUCAAACACCUCGUCUCUUCCUUUCAGCACAGAACAAAGUAGUACUACUUCAACUUCCACUUUACCUUCUACUACUGUCUUGAAUUCUAACACCGUUACUUUACCUCAAGAUAGUAUUAAUGCCAGCACAUUGGAUCUAGAAAGCACAAAAUUAACUGCCACUGAAAGUAGUACCAAUACUCUAAGCACAAGUGACUCUAGCACGGCUGAACCUGAUUUGGUGGUAGUAGAAUCUAUUACUGUUCUUAGUACUACUAUGGGAAGUAAUAGUGUCCCUCCGACGUUCCCAACGCUAUCUGAAAUCUUGAACGACAAAACUUUAGAGGCUUUCAAUGAGAUUGUUAGUAAUAGCGACCAAGUAAACACGAAUAUUUCUAACCAGACUGACAAUGGUCGGGUGAGCAAGUAUAUUAAAGUACUGAACAUUCAAGACUUGAUAAAAGGUAGAAACAGUGAAGCGCGUUCAAGAGGGAAACCGAUUUCAAUCAAGGUUGGCACAACUAUACCAAUUUCUAAUGAAAUUGUAAGCACCGAGUCUUCUUCUACAAUAAAAAGUACAAUGUCUACAGAACAAGCCAUAAGCACCACCACCAACACUGUCACAUCAACUACAAGCACUCCUGAGGUUACUCCAUUAAAGUCAGAAGAAACUUCUACCGAAGACAACGCAAUCCUAUCAAACAAAAUCUUGGAUGAUACAACAUUGCCUGCAAAACCGACUCCAUUUUCAGCAAUUCAAAAAAUAGGCACAACAAGAAAACUAACACCUACCACCAUUACUCCUAUAUUUAUAAGUACGACUCCGUCAGUCUUUCCAACAUUUUUAACGACGUUCUUCCCAAAUUUGUUUCCUGACGAAGCAACUAGAAAGCCUAAAGUAUCAACGAGUUCACCAGGUGUAAUUAGAAUAUCAGCUGCUCCUUCGGUAACUCAAACUACUUUUACUGAAAGACCUGUUACAACUACACAAGCAGUUACUACAACUAGACCUACCACAACUACUACAACUACUACCACAACAACCAAUGCACCAACUACCACUACCAGACCACCCACGACAACGAAAAUAGUAACCACGACUACUCCAGCAACUACAAUUACUACUCCAUCAACAACACCAAAACCAACUACAACUACUACCAUUCCUACAACACCACAACCAACUACGACUACAAGGAUGACCACUUCCCCAACACGAGUUACUCUUGGUGAAACAGUUACGGUUUCUACGACAGGAAGAACUGAUGCAAUUACUGAUUUUAAUACUAUAGAAGUUACCACCACCGCCAUUAAGCUUAAAGGAUUGUCAUCAGAACAAAAAAAUAAUCUUAGAGAGAUAGCGCAACUAGAGAAGGAACAAGCAGCAUUGUUACAGCAGUUGUCAUUUUUAACGAAUCUGGGUUUGGGUCAAAAUAGAGGACCAAAGUCAGUAGCUAACGACAAAACCAAAAAUUCAAACGCCAAUCCUGCUUCCAGUUUAGCAGAAAGGAUUCUUGCUUUAGCAGUUCAAAGAGAUAAAAAUUCAAAAUCUACGUCAACAGUUGCUACAACUGUUACAACCAGUUCUACUACUAAGCUUCCUACCUCAAUACAGGAUCAAAUAGCAGCCCUGGAAACUACAAAAGCACCUACAAAAGCAACACCUGUUUUAGAAGAAGUUCUAAAGCAGUAUAAUUUGAAUGGUCUAAAUGUUGCUGUAACUUCACCAACGUCAACUGUUUAUGGAAAGUCUGAAGAUGCAAUAUUGGCUUCACUUUUAAAAGAACAAGGAAUUGUACCAUCGACACCAGCAGUGUUAGCAGGCGUUUUUGACGAAACUACCAUUAGACCCCGACGACCCAAAGCCACCACUCCUCAACCUGGACCAAUAAUGCGAGGUUUAAAUUGGUUACUCAAUACUCUUGCACCAACACCGGCUCCCGCAACAAAAAGACCUACACCCAAACCUGUGAAACCAAAUAAACCACCUGUAGAAGAAGAACUUUUGGUUAAUUCCCCAACUCACAUGACUCCUAUCGCCACAGCUGCUCCUUCUAAAAUUGCUAACGCGCUCAGUCAAGAGGAUAUUAAGAAACUGAUCAAUCAACUAGAAGCAUUUCUCCUUUAAUCUUCUCAUUCCUUCCACAAAAUAUAUUUUUCAAUUUACCUUCAUCUCACUUCCUUCUUGCUUAUUUUCCUUCCAUUAUACCCACUCUCCUUUAAUUUAUUUUUGUUUGUUUUAUUGUUAUUUUUAUCAGUUUUCCUAUUUUUGCUAUAAAUAAUAUUAUAUAGUUGUUAGAUAAAUAUAUAAAUAACCAUAAUGUUGGAAUUUGUUUUUAAAUAAAUUUGUAUAUUUUUUUUUGAUAUAGGGAUAUUAUAAAUUGUUAGGUAAAAAAUAUAUAAUUAUAACAAAUAUUGCAAGUUAAAAUAUAAAAUAUAAAAUUCCGAAAAUUAAUUUUUAUACUUCACAAAUUAUGUAAUAGAGUUUUACAUUUCUAAAAGAUUAAUUUAAAUCAAAAUAUACGUUGAAAUAAUUUUUGUUUCUACACUGUUUUGUUCACGUAUUCAUUGUUAAUUAUUCCUGUCCACAUCCCAUCCAGUACCAUUUAUUUUUCCAUGGACCAUUUUCAUAAAACUACAUACAGAAGAAUCCAUCUAAAGGAACAUUGGAUUUAUCACAAAUCAAAAGCAUUCAAAACCUAAUUAAUUUAGACGGAGGUGUUGUCGUGAGCACCAACGGUGAACAUGGUACCACAUCGAGAAUAACAACUACACAAUCUACAAC
rnacentral:misc_RNA from 1 species